AUAAAGUGUACUUUGUUGAAUUGGUAUUUACCUCCAUGCCCAUGAUAUAAGAUCCGAAUAGCAAAUUAUGUUUACUCUUAAUAUUUUAAAAAUUUAUGAAUUAAAAAAUGUGUUAUACCUAAUAAACUAGUUUAUUAAGGAGAAAAACGGUACUCGAACACUGGGGAACUGUUACCGACCAGUAACGGGCACGAUUCCACUGUACAGAAAGGUUCUGCGCGCGCGGCCAAGACUCUAUUAACAAUCCGCGAAACAUUGACCUUACCUACGCGCUGUCAUUCUGUGGAACUGGACUAUCGAACACUGUUAAUACAUUGGGGGACUGUUACCGACCAGUAACGGGCACGAUUCCACUGUACAGAAGGGAUCUGCGCGCGCGGCCAACACUCUACUAGCCAUCCACGAAACAUUGACCUUACCUACGCGCUGUCAUUAUGUGGAAAUGGACUAUCGAACUCCUUUUAUUUGAAUACAACCAGGACACAACUGAAUAAAUCAGUAAAUAUUCCAGUUCUUAGCUCUUUGUUCAGGAGAAUAUCGAAGGUUUUGCUCUAAGGGAAAUCUGAAUGUUCCUGUAAAAGACGUCCCUCUCCCCCGCUCGUCAAAAAACGACUUGCCGACCCAAGCGCGCAGAUCCCUUGACCCAUAUGUAUACGCCUGGCAUGUACGAAAUUCCUGGUUUCAUGCAGUUGUGGUUUGUUCUACAAAGGAGAAACAAAAUGUUUUAAUAUCUAAACGAGUUAGUGAAUAUAUUAUGAAGAUGAAACGUCAGUAUAUGGAAAAAUCGGCCAUAGUGGAUACCGUUACAACACCAAACAUGCAAUAGAAUUCGACAAAACUAAAGUAAUUACAAGAAGUCCAUACUAUUAUCCAAGGGUAAUAGGAGAAAUUAUAGAAAUAAUCAAGAAAGAAGCUGUCUUCAGUUAAGAUGAUAGCGUGAAUUUAUCUAAUGAAUCCGUCAAAAAGACAAAGAAGCCGUACAAAUCACUUUGGAAGCCGUUGGUGUUACUUUGGUCAUUGGAUGGUAUUAAGCUAUAACUAAACACAUGACACAUUCGUCCCUUUCAAGUCACCUCAAAUAAUCGAUGCAAAAUCCAUCGACUUGUAUUCAGGCUCUCUGUCGAGGGACGUUUUUCUUUUUCGCCAGCAAUGUGGGGAGAAACCCGCGCUGAUUGCCAAGGCAUUUGAGAUACUUAAAUUUUCGUGCCAAAUUAUUCAACGUGAUCUCAUUAGCGGAAAGUACCGAUCAUACAUUCCCCUGGCAAUUAAAGCGAAAUUCGGUGGCUCCGCACUGCGGACAGAAAAAGAAUAGAAAAUCCACGAGACAGCAUCUAAACAUCAACCUCAUGUCAUAUCGAGAUAGAAGGGGCGCAGAACGUGGACAAUGUACCUUAUCGCUUGGCGAACUCAACGAUGGAUUUCCGACACUUUAUUCUCAUAUUUAUUACUUCCUAUGGAUUGCCUGGUCGUCAAACUGUAACACGGAAGAACAAUAAGCAGACCCAAUAAUUGCUUUCUAAUAAAAUCGUUCAUCGUCAGUUACAAAAACUAAACGAAGAAUUGUUUUAUUGCCACUUUUUAUCUAACAUAUGUUAACAAGUUUUGGCUCACCACAGCGAGAGUGAAAUGUUUUAAUGAUUUAAUUGCGUUAACAUUAUUUAUACGCGGUGAAACGAGAACGAGAAAGUAUUGAUUACCAUUCUUUUUUACGUAUAAAAACACAACUCAAAACGUGAUUAGUUUUUUCGUGUUGCAUUUAGAAUUUACUCCUUUCUUAGGAGUCAAAGUCUCUUCGUUUGUAGUGAUGCACAUGAAAUGUUGUAUUUUACUCAAAAAUUAUGCUUUUUGCGAGUUGAAGUUGGUUCCGAUAACAUUGUAAGCUCUUUUUUUUCUUUUUCAUCUGGACUAAUUCUGAAAACUGAAGGGGGAUUCUUAUUUUACAUAACUAUCAAUGACUCAGGUGGUUUUAAAUUAUUCAAGAAAUCCAAACUAACUUGUUUUUCAAUAGAAAUUCGUCGAUGAUAUUGUUUAAUGAUCUCCACCAAACUGAAGUAUAACUAAUAGUUGUCCUGUAAGAUUUUAAUGGGUUUUAUGAAGUAUAUUAAAUAUAUGUUUUAGCCAUUCUGACUUGGAUUGUUGUGCCAUCAGUUCCCACGGGUCCCGGCCGCCGUCCCAAUCCCAACAAUCCACACCAAUGCAGCGCGUGCGGCCGCAGCUACAAGCAGAAAGGUCACCUGACGAGACACCUUCGCUACGAGUGUAACGUCGAGCGGCAGUUUGCUUGUCAGUUCUGCCCUUAUAAAGCGAAGCAGAAAGUCACGAUGCAUAAUCACACGUUAGCCAAACAUCGGGACCUUUUGGAUGUAGCUUCAUAUUGUGUUGAUUCUUGCCUGGAUUAAACACGUUAAUUUUGUAAACAGUGUUAGUUUUUUAUAUAAUCUGUUGAAUCUUUAUAUUGUUGGCUAUCUGUUUAGAGUGCACUUUCAUAUUAAUGAUCAGUAAUGACUCAUAAGCGGGUGCUUUUUCAAAUGUACUUGAGUUCUCAGGGUUACAAGAAUGUGUAGAGAAAUUAAAAUUAAGUAUGAUGCUUAGAGCAUUGGAUAUCAUUAUUUUAUCUUCACUGUGCAAUAGAAGCUAUGCCCGUUGUUUUUACAAACAAAUGGAAGCAUGAAAUUAGAUUAUUUUUCUUUCAUUAGGUGAAGUGUACAAAUACAUUUUGGAGGAAAAAUUCCAAAAUUGUUAAUGUGAAACUAUUGGGGCAUUUGUUUCGUAAAUUCUGUGGGUUUUACGAUUUAAUUUAUGUUGAAGGUGUUGUUAACUACAAAAUGGGUAAGCGUAGUCUUACAUGUCAUUUGAAACCCGUAAAUGAUACUAUGUAUUAAUGUAACUAGUUAAUAAAUAAUCCUUAUGCUCAGUCGGAAGAAAUAGUUAGAUUUUGUGAUAACAAAGAUUUUUAGAUAUAUCAAACUAUUCCUAUGGGAUUUACAUGUACUCAAUGUCUCGAUACCGUUCAAGAUACACAAAAAAGGCUCACAACAAAAUGUUACAAGCAUUACAUAGCAACUUUAGUUUGUUUCUCUAGAUUCAUAAAUAACGGAAUCAAAAGACCAUGAAAAACGGAAUUUUUAUGUUUACAUGGUCGCCAUAUUGUGACGAAAUGACGAAGAAACUGGCUAACGAAUUAUUUAGGAGACAUAUAUAUGAUCAACUUUUGUUCAAAGUUUCAAAUUAUUUGUACUUUUUUGGGACAUAAUUAAAAAUAUGUUAGUAAUAGACUUUUUUAAAUCUGAAAUUUGGUUACGGCUAGUCUGUCACUUGUGUGGUUUUGUAUAGAGAAGCGGUUCAACUGCCAGACUUGCGGGAGAGACUACAAACACAGGAAGAGUUUGCUCCUUCAUCUCCGCUACGAGUGCGGCAAAGAGCCGCAGUUCGCUUGUCCCCACUGUCCCUACCGGGCGAAACAGAAAGGGACACUCGCCUGCCACGUCUACAGCAAGCACGAGAAGUUUGUUCUCACAAGUGAUAGAUCUGAAGAAGGACGCGGCUCAAAUUGAGAGUACCAGAGUGUGGAAAACACGAGCGCCACGUGUGCCAGUGUGGUCGCUCGUACAAGUACAAGAAAGGCUUGUCGCAGCACCAGCGCUACGAGUGCGGCAAGGAGCCGCAGUUCGCUUGUCCCCACUGUCCCUACAGAGCCAAGCAGAAGGUGUCCCUCACUACACAUCUCUUCUGCAAGCAUCACAUUACGGUGCAGCCGUCCUCGUUGGAGUAGAAUAUUCUGUUUGUUUGUGGUGGCUGAACAUCGCUAAUGAUUAAGUUCCUUUCAUCAUAAUAUGUUUUAUUUAGUUUUCACUAUCGUCUGUCUAUAACUGUACUUUGCCAUUUUUCCAAUUCUAGUUGAACUUUUUGUUGAAAAUAAGACUGUCUACUCGUUGACAGUAGUUUUAAAAUGUUUUUCUUUUACAAAACUAAUUUAACAAUAAAUAUUAAAAAUAUAUCAAAAAUAGAUGAACUACAGAUGUGAUUCCAUUAAUUUUAAUAAUUUAACAAAAAUGCCGAGAUUAUUUAUUGAUUAAUAUGUUACUAAAUAUAAAAAUUCAUCUUGGUUGUACGAAACAGAUUAUAUCUGUUCUUUAUGUCCUGCUAAAACUUAGUUGUAAUACAUUAAUUACUAAUGUUCUUAUCGCUAUUAAAAUGCUUGAACCGAACCAAAGCGAAUUAGGGCUUAUGGACACCGCUACAAACACAGUGGGGUUUAUUUUUCAUACGAGUGUUAUUUGUAUUUAUUUUAAAUUAUAUUACAUGUAUUCAUUUUAAACUCCAUGACUUCUCAUUUAUGUUUGUUCAAGAACGUUGUUAUUAUUCAUUGUCUGUGUUGUUAUUUACUUAUAUUUCUUUGUUAGUCGUUAUUAAUUUUAAUUAUAUUAGUAAUGUUUACGGUGUAAAACCAUUGUAUUUGAAUUGGCUGCUCAAUAUAAACUGUUAACAGUUCAUUAAUUAAUAUCUCCCUCUGUUAAUACAAGACCCAUACUCACAUUGUUGGAGAAAUUAUCAGUUAUUAAUACAAUUUAUGCUUGUACUCUUAUAUUUAAAAGGAUAAAUAUUAUUAAAUUAAACGUAAAUGUACGCUUUUA
rnacentral:lncRNA from 1 species